rnacentral:rRNA from 1 species
AGUGAACGCUGGCGGUAGGCCUAACACAUGCAAGUCGAACGGCAGCACAGUAAGAGCUUGCUCUUACGGGUGGCGAGUGGCGGACGGGUGAGGAAUACAUCGGAAUCUACUUUUUCGUGGGGGAUAACGUAGGGAAACUUACGCUAAUACCGCAUACGACCUACGGGUGAAAGCAGGGGAUCUUCGGACCUUGCGCGAUUGAAUGAGCCGAUGCCGGAGUAGCUAGUUGGCGAGGUAAAGGCCCACCAAGGCAACGAUGCGGAGCAGACCUGAGAGGAUGAGCGGCCAAACUGGAACUGAGACACGGUCCAGACUCCUACGGGAGGCAGCAGUAGGGAAUCUUCCGCAAUGGGCGAAAGCCUGACGGAGCAACGCCGCGUGAGUGAUGAAGGUCUUCGGAUCGUAAAACUCUGUUAUUAGGGAAGAAAAUAUGUGUAAGUAACUGUGCACAGCUUGACGGUACCUAAUCAGAAAGCCACGGCUAACUACGUG